rnacentral:rRNA from 1 species
AUUGAACGCUGGCGGCAUGCUUUACACAUGCAAGUCGAACGGUAACAGGGUGCUUGCACCGCUGACGAGUGGCGAACGGGUGAGUAAUGCGUCGGAACGUGCCGAGUAGUGGGGGAUAACGCAGCGAAAGUUGUGCUAAUACCGCAUACGUACUGAGGUAGAAAGUGGGGGACCUUCGGGCCUUACGCUAUUCGAGCGGCCGACGUCUGAUUAGCUAGUAGGGGAGGUAAAGGCUCACCUAGGCGACGAUCAGUAGGGGGUCUGAGAGGAUGAUCCGCCACACUGGGACUGAGACACGGCCCAGACUCCUACGGGAGGCAGCAGUGGGGAAUUUUGGACAAUGGGCGAAAGCCUGAUCCAGCCAUGCCGCGUGUCUGAAGAAGGCCUUCGGGUUGUAAAGGACUUUUGUCGGGGAGGAAAUCCCCAGCGUUAAUACCGCUGGGGGAUGACAGUACCUGAAGAAUAAGCACCGGCUAACUACGUACCAGCAGCCGCCGCGGUAA